rnacentral:rRNA from 1 species
CUCGCAGGCGGUUUCUUAAGUCUGAUGUGAAAGCCCCCGGCUCAACCGGGGAGGGUCAUUGGAAACUGGGGAACUUGAGUGCAGAAGAGGAGAGUGGAAUUCCACGUGUAGCGGUGAAAUGCGUAGAGAUGUGGAGGAACACCAGUGGCGAAGGCGACUCUCUGGUCUGUAACUGACGCUGAGGAGCGAAAGCGUGGGGAGCGAACAGGAUUAGAUACCCUGGUAGUCCACGCCGUAAACGAUGAGUGCUAAGUGUUAGGGGGUUUCCGCCCCUUAGUGCUGCAGCUAACGCAUUAAGCACUCCGCCUGGGGAGUACGGUCGCAAGACUGAAACUCAAAGGAAUUGACGGGGGCCCGCACAAGCGGUGGAGCAUGUGGUUUAAUUCGAAGCAACGCGAAGAACCUUACCAGGUCUUGACAUCCUCUGACAAUCCUAGAGAUAGGACGUCCCCUUCGGGGGCAGAGUGACAGGUNGNNGCAUGGUUGUCGUCAGCUCGUGUCGUGAGAUGUUGGGUUAAGUCCCCGCAACGAGCGCAACCCUUGAUCUUAGUUGCCAGCNUUCAGUUGGGCANUUUAAGGUGACUGCCGGUGACAAACCGGAGGAAGGUGGGGANUGNCGUCNNNUCAUNUUAGCGCCGGACGGNUUAGUNACACGUGGGGUACACACUGCCUGNUACAGANUGGGANAGACUCCGGGAAACCGGGCNGCNAAUACCGNGAUGGUUAAGUUNNAAUCCGCAUGGUUCAAAUCNUAAAAGNUNUCAGUUCGGNUACGCACUUNCAGACUNGACCUGCGGUGAAGCUNGAUUCGCUGAGGUAAUCGCGGAUCACCAUGCCGCNNCGAAUNCGUNNCCGGACCUUGUACAGGGUCACCGCCCGCCACCACUGGGANNUUGNAACANNCCCNGANUCGUACGGGAGGNNANCUUUUAGGGAANCNNCCGCAAUGGACAGAUGAGUCUGACGGAGCAACGCCGCGUAACAAGUGAUGAACGGUUUUCGGAUCGUAAAGCUCUGUUGUUAGGGAAGAACAAGUACCGUUCGAAUAGGGCGGUACCUUGACGGUACCUAACCAGAAAGCCACGGCUAAUUCUACGUGCCAGCAGCCGCGGUAAUACGUAGGUGGCAAGCGUUGUCCGGAAUUAUUGGGCGUAAAGGGCUCGCAGGCGGUUUCUUAAGUCUGAUGUGAAAGCCCCCGGCUCAACCGGGGAGGGUCAUUGGAAACUGGGGAACUUGAGUGCAGAAGAGGAGAGUGGAAUUUCCACGUGUAGCGGUGAAAUGCNUANAGAUGUGGA